AUAUUUUUUUCCUGGAUGUUAAGCACUUGCCUUAUGCUCCAAAAUCCCUUUUUGCAAGUUAAACUGUUGGUAAGUACUGUUAUUCCAUUAGUGUUCAGUAUUAUUGAGAGAGAGGUUAUCAUCUAAUCACAUAGGGGUUUCACCAGAUAUGGCCAUUUUAGUUUUCAAAAAUUUCUGAAGCGCAAUGAGAUACUGUCAUGCAGAGCUACUAGCAUAUCCAGUCCAUUCACAUAUAUAAGUAUACCUUCAUUACAUUUUUAUUCUAAAACCAAGAAAACCUAAAGAGAUUAACAUCAAGAAAAAAAAGGAAAGACAAAUUAAAGUAUCAUUAUUCUUUUUUAUACUGGGAUUGCUUUCAAAUUACCCUUUUCUCUAAUAGUUGAAUGGAAUGUGAACCUAAACAAGCAUCUGUCUAUGUUUCGAGGAUGUAAUGUGACUUCAGGCAGGACAUGGUGACAGAAAGCAGUAAGCAGUAAAUGUACCUCUUGUGGUGAGAGAGCAAGAGACAUGGUAUGGGUUAUCUACUGAUGCAUUCCUUUUGCUUUCCCAGGGUGAAGAAGGGGACCAAGGACCCAGUGGUGAAGUGGGAGCUCAAGGCCCUCCAGGCAUCCUAGGUGUAAGAGGUAUAACUGGUAUAAUGGGACCUAAAGGUACCAAAGUGAGUAUUAACCUUUGUUUCCAUAGAAUGGCCUGGAUAAAAAAAAUCUACACCCCUGAAUGUUUUUAAAGCUUAUUUAAAUUUCUCCUUUUUUCCCCCAACAUUUUCUUUCUCCUGUCAGCUGUAUUUCCAUAGCUACUUUACUUCUGGUUAGGAAGAAAGGCAGCUUGGUCCUUGUCAUUAACGAAGCACACAUAUUCUUUACACCUUUCCCUCUGAUGUUUGGAUUUAUAGUAUUUUGGCAUGUGUGCAAGUAUGUAGUUAGCAAGGUAGCAAGUUAUAGCAGUUAUAAACUAUAACACAUUUUAAUUAAAGCUAAACUUUAUUAAGUAGUCCCUCUAGUGAUUUGCAUCUUCUGAAGGCUUUUGGUUCCACUGUCCCAGUUUUUUUCAGGAUUUUUUAUUGACAGCUUGUUCUUUUUCAAUUCUUUCUGCCUCUUACAUCUUUUGUGUCUUAAAUUGCUGCCAGUGGGAUUCGUGUUUACAUGGGCUCUGACUUUGCUGGGUGAUUUUCCGGCUGUUCAUCAACAUGUUUCUAACUGCUAUUUCAAAACUGACUGUUACAUCUGUAGUCUGAUAUCUUGCUAAAUCUCUAUAGCAAAAAUUUUGGAAGGAGUAAAGUGUAG
rnacentral:lncRNA from 1 species